CUUUUUGCUCUUGGAGCCGUGGGUCUCGAUUUAUGAGUGCAAGGCUCCCAGGCCAAAUGACGUAAUCAUUGAAAGGGUGUAUUAAAAUUUUGGAUAAAAAUUUAUCCGAAGGGUUGUCUAAUAUGGGAAAUAAUUCUAAACAGCAUGCUAUUGAGAUGAGGUUUUCUGAGGGAUCCCUGAAUUCUUAGGGUUUUUGCACCAGGACAACAAAUUUAUGGUGAUUUGUGCGGCUGACAGGGAGACGGAGUGAUGGGGUUGGGCAUUGGGUUUAUAAUUAUUGUAGAAUAUGUAUAAUUAUUGUUUAUAAUUAUUGCAUGUUUUUGCAGGAAUAUACCCGGGAAUGCAAGAAUGAUUUGGCUGUUCAGAUAUCAAACUACAAUCAUCAAAUAAUGCAAUGUCAGCAUUUUAUUGUUCUCAAUGUGAAAAAUAUUAAUAGAAAUAAAAUAUACACAGGCUAGUAUCCUGAUAGAUAGAACAUUGUAUUAUUAUAAGGUGUCGCAUACACUGGUACUGAUGCUACUUUGAGUGUGUUCACACCGGGCAAGCAGAAGAGUUUGCUUGACAGCGGUGGGAAUAGAACCCGCGACCUUUGGUUUGCUAGUCCAAUGCUCUACCAACUGGGUCAUACAUGCAUGGGGUCAAGUCGGUAAGAAAACCAAAAGUCGUGGGUUCGAUUCCCACUGCGAUCAAGCAAGAGGAGCAUCAUAAACAAACAGUGAUCUACAUAUUUAUCUAUAUCCCACUAACAAUGAAUAAAAUCA